CAUUUGCAGUUGCAGUUAACUCGAAGGGAGUCAUAUUCAUCAUAUGAAUCUGAUGUUUUAAUUGACGAUGAGAGGAAGAAGAGGCUACACAUUUUUCAUUUACCAUUUCAAAUGUUGGUGACCUUGGUUAAUUCCCGUGUUGAAUAUCCUCAAGACUAUGAUGACCAAUCUGAGGAGGACCAGAAGGAUUUCAAGCACAUCAGAUAU